ACGUAUUACUGAAAGGGAUACUUCUUCGGACAAUAUACAAGGUGCUGCAUGGUUGUCGUCAGCUCGUGCCGUGAGGUGUCGGGUAAGUCCCAUAACGAGCGCAACCCUAUCAUUAGUUGCCAUCAGGUCAAGCUGGGGACUCUAAUGAAACUGCCUACGCAAGUAGUGAGGAAGUGGGGAUGACGUCAAAUCAGCACGGCCCUUACGUCCAGGGCUACACACGUGCUACAAUGGCCGGUACAAAGGGCAGCUACCUGGUGACAGGAUGCUAAUCUCAAAGGCCGGUCUCAGUUCGGAUCGGAGUCUGCAACCCGACUCCGUGAAGCUGGAAUCGCUAGUAAUCGCGCAUCAGCCAUGGCGCGGUGAAUACGUUCCCGGGCCUU
rnacentral:rRNA from 1 species